rnacentral:rRNA from 1 species
ACAGGUGCUAAUACCGGAUAAGAAAGCAGAUCGCAUGAUCAGCUUAUAAAAGGCGGCGUAAGCUGUCGCUAUGGGAUGGCCCCGCGGUGCAUUAGCUAGUUGGUAAGGUAAAGGCUUACCAAGGCGAUGAUGCAUAGCCGAGUUGAGAGACUGAUCGGCCACAUUGGGACUGAGACACGGCCCAAACUCCUACGGGAGGCAGCAGUAGGGAAUCUUCCACAAUGGACGCAAGUCUGAUGGAGCAACGCCGCGUGAGUGAAGAAGGUUUUCGGAUCGUAAAGCUCUGUUGUUGGUGAAGAAGGAUAGAGGUAGUAACUGGCCUUUAUUUGACGGUAAUCAACCAGAAAGUCACGGCUAACUACGUGCCAGUAGCCGCGGUAAUACGUAGGUGGCAAGCGUUGUCCGGAUUUAUUGGGCGUAAAGCGAGCGCAGGCGGAAGAAUAAGUCUGAUGUGAAAGCCCUCGGCUUAACCGAGGAACUGCAUCGGAAACUGUUUUUCUUGAGUGCGGAAGAGGAGAGUGGAACUCCAUGUGUAGCGGUGGAAUGCGUAGAUAUAUGGAAGAACACCAGUGGCGAAGGCGGCUCUCUGGUCUGCAACUGACGCUGAUGUGCGAAAGCGUGGGGAUCAAACAGGAUUAGAUACCCUGGUAGUCCACGCCGUAAACGAUGAGUGCUAAGUGUUAGGGGGUUUCCGCCCCUUAGUGCUGCAGCAAAC